AUCGUGGUGGGAGACAGUGUCAGGUGGGCAGUUUGACUGGGGCGGUCGCCUCCCAAAAGGUAACGGAGGCGCUCAAAGGUUCCCUCAGAAUGGUUGGAAAUCAUUCAUAGAGUGUAAAGGUAUAAGGGAGCUUGACUGCGAGACUUACAAGUCGAGCAGGGUCGAAAGACGGACUUAGUGAUCCGGUGGUUCCGCAUGGAAGGGCCAUCGCUCAACGGAUAAAAGCUACCCCGGGGAUAACAGGCUUAUCUCCCCCAAGAGUUCACAUCGACGGGGAGGUUUGGCACCUCGAUGUCGGCUCAUCGCAUCCUGGGGCUGUAGUCGGUCCCAAGGGUUGGGCUGUUCGCCCAUUAAAGCGGUACGCGAGCUGGGUUCAGAACGUCGUGAGACAGUUCGGUCCCUAUCCGUCGUGGGCGUAGGAAAUUUGAGAGGAGCUGUCCUUAGUACGAGAGGACCGGGAUGGACAUACCUCUGGUGUACCAGUUGUCGUGCCAACGGCAUCGCUGGGUGGCUAUGUAUGGACGGGAUAAGUGCUGAAAGCAUCUAAGCAUGAAGCCCCCCUCGAGAUGAGAUUUCCCAACUUCGGUUAUAAGAUCCCUCAAAGAUGAUGAGGUCAAUAGGUUCGAGGUGGAAGCGUGG
rnacentral:rRNA from 1 species